rnacentral:rRNA from 1 species
ACAGUGGACGCGAGCAUCUGUGGCCAAGUUUUUAAGGGCGCACGGUGGAUGCCUUGGCACCAGGAACCGAUGAAGGACGUGGGAGGCCACGAUAGUCCCCGGGGAGUCGUCAACCAGGCUUUGAUCCGGGGGUUUCCGAAUGGGGAAACCCGGCAGUCGUCAUGGGCUGUCACCCGCUGCUGAACACAUAGGCAGUGUGGAGGGAACGCGGGGAAGUGAAACAUCUCAGUACCCGCAGGAAGAGAAAACAACCGUGAUUCCGGGAGUAGUGGCGAGCGAAACCGGAUGAGGCCAAACCGUAUGCGUGUGAGACCCGGCAGGGGUUGCGUGUGCGGGGUUGUGGGAUCUCUCUUUUACGGUCUGCCGGCCGUGAGACGAGUCAGAAACCGUUGAUGUAGGCGAAGGACAUGCGAAAGGUCCGGCGUAGAGGGUAAGACCCCCGUAGUCGAAACAUCAGCGGCUCGUUUGAGAGACACCCAAGUAGCACGGGGCCCGAGAAAUCCCGUGUGAAUCUGGCGGGACCACCCGCUAAGCCUAAAUAUUCCCUGGUGACCGAUAGCGGAUAGUACCGUGAGGGAAUGGUGAAAAGUACCGCGGGAGCGGAGUGAAAUAGUACCUGAAACCGUGUGCCUACAAGCCGUGGGAGCGUCGGAUGGGAGCUUGCUUCCAUCUCGUGACUGCGUGCCUUUUGAAGAAUGAGCCUGCGAGUUUGCGGUGUGUUGCGAGGUUAACCCGGGUGGGGUAGCCGUAGCGAAAGCGAGUCCGAAUAGGGCGUUUGAGUAGCACGCUCAAGACCCGAAGCGGAGUGAUCUAGCCAUGGGCAGGUUGAAGCGGCUGUAAGAGGUCGUGGAGGACCGAACCCACCAGGGUUGAAAACCUGGGGGAUGACCUGUGGUUAGGGGUGAAAGGCCAAUCAAACUCCGUGAUAGCUGGUUCUCCCCGAAAUGCAUUUAGGUGCAGCGUCGUGUGUUUCUUGCCGGAGGUAGAGCACUGGAUAGGCGAUGGGCCCUACCGGGUUACUGACCUUAGCCAAACUCCGAAUGCCGGUAAGUGAGAGCGCGGCAGUGAGACUGUGGGGGAUAAGCUCCAUGGUCGAGAGGGAAACAGCCCAGAGCAUCGACUAAGGCCCCUAAGCGUACGCUAAGUGGGAAAGGAUGUGGAGUCGCAGAGACAACCAGGAGGUUGGCUUAGAAGCAGCCACCCUUGAAAGAGUGCGUAAUAGCUCACUGGUCUAGUGAUUCCGCGCCGACAAUGUAGCGGGGCUCAAGCGUACCGCCGAAGUCGUGUCAUUGCAGCAUGUACUCCCAACGGAGGCUGUGAUGGGUAGGGGAGCGUCGUCUGCCGGGUGAAGCAGCCGCGUAAGCGAGUUGUGGACGGUUGACGAGUGAGAAUGCAGGCAUGAGUAGCGAUUCACACGUGGGAAACGUGUGCGCCGAUUGACUAAGGGUUCCUGGGUCAAGCUGAUCUGCCCAGGGUAAGUCGGGACCUAAGGCGAGGCCGACAGGCGUAGUCGAUGGAUAACCGGUUGAUAUUCCGGUACCCGCUGUGAAGCGUCAAACAUCGAGCAUCGUGAUGCUAAGGCCGUGAAACCGCC